rnacentral:rRNA from 1 species
AGUGAACGCUGGCGGUAGGCCUAACACAUGCAAGUCGAACGGCAGCACAGGAGAGCUUGCUCUCUGGGUGGCGAGUGGCGGACGGGUGAGGAAUACAUCGGAAUCUACUUUUUCGUGGGGGAUAACGUAGGGAAACUUACGCUAAUACCGCAUACGACCUACGGGUGAAAGCAGGGGAUCUUCGGACCUUGCGCGAUUGAAUGAGCCGAUGUCGGAUUAGCUAGUUGGCGGGGUAAAGGCCCACCAAGGCGACGAUCCGUAGCUGGUCUGAGAGGAUGAUCAGCCACACUGGAACUGAGACACGGUCCAGACUCCUACGGGAGGCAGCAGUGGGGAAUAUUGGACAAUGGGCGCAAGCCUGAUCCAGCCAUACCGCGUGGGUGAAGAAGGCCUUCGGGUUGUAAAGCCCUUUUGUUGGGAAAGAAAUCCAGCUGGUUAAUACCCGGUUGGGAUGACGGUACCCAAAGAGUAAGCACCGGCUAACUUCGUGCCAGCAGCCGCAGUAA